UACGAAGGGGGCUAGCGUUGCUCGGAAUCACUGGGCGUAAAGGGUGCGUAGGCGGGUCUUUAAGUCAGGGGUGAAAUCCUGGAGCUCAACUCCAGAACUGCCUUCGAUACUGGACGGCUCGAGACCGGAAGAGGUGAGUGGAACUGCGAGUGUAGAGGUGAAAUUCGUAGAUAUUCGCAAGAACACCAGUGGCGAAGGCGGCUCACUGGUCCGGUUCUGACGCUGAGGCGCGAAAGCGUGGGGAGCAAACAGG
rnacentral:rRNA from 1 species